rnacentral:lncRNA from 1 species
UGUAAAUCACGAGAUGAAUCUUUUAAUCCUAAUUAAUCUAUGAUUGAAUAAUAUUUGUCAAAUAAAAAUAAAAAUACUACAGUGCCGAAAUCCGAAAAAAAUUUAGGAACUAAACAAGGCCGUAUUCAAGACCGCUGCUAACAACAUCACCACCUUCACCAUCAACGGUAUGCUCUUCCCGAAGCUGCAAGGCAUAACAGAAGGAACUUCUCUGAGUUUCAGAGUUGAUUUUUAGCUCCAAAAUUCACAUCAAGGGUAGCUUCACCAUCAAGGGUAUGCUCUUCCCGAAGAUGCGUGAGCUCGGCGGGAUGGGCAAACACGGCGUGAGCUUCCCGGCGACCGUGUGCGAGCAGACGACCUCAUCGCGCCGCUGCACUGUAGACCCGGCCCCCUACCGCCACCGACACUGAGCAGCACAUGGCCGACGCUGCCCCUGGAUCUCCAUCGUCGCACCGGUGCGACCGGCCAUCUCCGUUGGUUGGAACGGCAAGGCUCCAGGCACACCGGAUCUAGAGGGAGGGGAUUCGGUCCCGUCCCCAAUGUCGUUGUCGUAGUUUGUGGUUACUGCAUAGACUUUCUUCAAAAUUUUAAGAUCUUGUUUAGUUUCGAAUUUUUUUUAGAUUUCGGUACUAUAGUUUUUUCGUUUGUAUUUGAUAAUUAUUAUCUAACUAUAGACUAAGUAGGUUUAAAAGAUUCGUCUCAUAAAUUACAGACACACUAUGCAAU